UCCGCGGUGAAUGCGUCCCUUCUCCUCGCAUACUCGGCACGCACACUGGAGGGUCUGUGAGUGUGGGAUGGGCG
rnacentral:rRNA from 1 species